rnacentral:rRNA from 1 species
GACGAACGCUGGCGGCGUGCUUAACACAUGCAAGUCGAACGAAGUGGCGAACGGGUGAGUCACGCGUAAUCAACCUGCCCUUCAGAGGGGGACAACAGUUGGAAACGACUGCUAAUACCGCAUACUGCAGGAGGGGAUUGCGUCUGAUUAGCUAGUGGGGGGGGUAACGGCCCACCAAGGCGAUGAUCAGUAGCAGGUAUGAGUGGAUGAACGGCCACAUUGGGAAGGAGACACGGUCCAGACUCCUACGGGAGGCAGAAGUAGGGAAUCGUCCGCAAUGGGCGAAAGCCUGACGGAGCAACGCCGCGUGAGUGAUGAAGGUCUUCGGAUCGUAAAACUCUGUUAUUAGGGAAGCGGUACCUAAUCAGAAAGCCACGGCUAACUACGUGCCAGCAGCCGCGGUAAUAC